UACGUAGGGGGCAAACGUUGUCCGGAUUUACUGGGUGUAAAGGGUGCUCAGGCGGUUUUGUAAGUCAGAAGUGAAAUCCCCGGGCUCAACCUGGGAACUGCGCUUGUGACUGGAAGACUAGAGUAUGGCAGAGGGGGGUGGAAUUCCACGUGUAGCAGUGAAAUGCGUAGAGAUGUGGAGGAACACCGAUGGCGAAGGCAGCCCCCUGGGCCAAUACUGACGCUCAUGCACGAAAGCGUGGGUAGCAAACAGGAUUAG
rnacentral:rRNA from 1 species